AGGUUGAAUUCUGACCAUUGCUGUAAGAAGAUGGAGACGGCAUUGUAAUAACCAACAAGAAUAGAAGGAGUAGGAGUAACUGAAGAAGAAGAGCGUAAGGGGAAAACUGAAAGGAGAAAAGGAUGGCGAGUGGGGAGAAAGGAGAAGAGAGCGGAGGAGAAGUAGGGGUAUAAGAGGAGCAAAGGAAGUGUUUUUAUUAGUAGGAACAUAUUUCACAUAUAAUGCAUUAUGGGAACGAUAACAGUAGAACCAGAACGAAUAAUCAGACGAGAAAUUCUACUAACACGUUUGAUGGCGGCAGAUUGUUUUAGGACAGACAACAAUGAAGUAUCACCUGGGAGUACAUUCUUGCAUCUGUGAUGUAAUAAUCUUCUAUCAGAGAAUAAAGAUUCUAUUAACAAUCUCCAAUAAAAUAUGUUUUACAUUA